rnacentral:rRNA from 1 species
GAUGAACGCUGGCGGCGUGCCUAAUACAUGCAAGUCGAGCGAACAGACGAGGAGCUUGCUCCUCUGACGUUAGCGGCGGACGGGUGAGUAACACGUGGAUAACCUACCUAUAAGACUGGGAUAACUUCGGGAAACCGGAGCUAAUACCGGAUAAUAUAUUGAACCGCAUGGUUCAAUAGUGAAAGACGGUUUUGCUGUCACUUAUAGAUGGAUCCGCGCCGCAUUAGCUAGUUGGUAAGGUAACGGCUUACCAAGGCAACGAUGCGUAGCCGACCUGAGAGGGUGAUCGGCCACACUGGAACUGAGACACGGUCCAGACUCCUACGGGAGGCAGCAGUAGGGAAUCCUCCGCAAUGGGCGAAUGCCUGACGGAGCAACGCCGCGUGAGUGAUGAAGGUCUUCGGAUCGUAAAACUCUGUUAUUAGGGAAGAACAAAUGUGUAAGUAACUAUGCACGUCUUGACGGUACCUAAUCAGAAAGCCACGGCUAACUACGUG